rnacentral:rRNA from 1 species
CUAAUACAUGCAAGUCGAACGAACUCUGGUAUUGAUUGGUGCUUGCAUCAUGAUUUACAUUUGAGUGAGUGGCGAACUGGUGAGUAACACGUGGGAAACCUGCCCAGAAGCGGGGGAUAACACCUGGAAACAGAUGCUAAUACCGCAUAACAACUUGGACCGCAUGGUCCGAGCUUGAAAGAUGGCUUCGGCUAUCACUUUUGGAUGGUCCCGCGGCGUAUUAGCUAGAUGGUGGGGUAACGGCUCACCAUGGCAAUGAUACGUAGCCGACCUGAGAGGGUAAUCGGCCACAUUGGGACUGAGACACGGCCCAAACUCCUACGGGAGGCAGCAGUAGGGAAUCUUCCACAAUGGACGAAAGUCUGAUGGAGCAACGCCGCGUGAGUGAAGAAGGGUUUCGGCUCGUAAAACUCUGUUGUUAAAGAAGAACAUAUCUGAGAGUAACUGUUCAGGUAUUGACGGUAUUUAACCAGAAAGCCACGGCUAACUACGUGCCAGCAGCCGCGGUAAUACGUAGGUGGCAAGCGUUGUCCGGAUUUAUUGGGCGUAAAGCGAGCGCAGGCGGUUUUUUAAGUCUGAUGUGAAAGCCUUCGGCUCAACCGAAGAAGUGCAUCGGAAACUGGGAAACUUGAGUGCAGAAGAGGACAGUGGAACUCCAUGUGUAGCGGUGAAA